rnacentral:tRNA from 1 species
GGGCCUGUAGUUCACCGGCAGAAUGCCUCCAUGGCAUGGAGGAGGACGGGGUUCGAUUCCCCGCAGGUCCA